CUUAAAUAGUUUAAUUAAAAUAUUAACUUUGGGAGUUAAUGAUCGUUAAGUCUUGCGUUUAUGG
rnacentral:tRNA from 1 species